rnacentral:rRNA from 1 species
AAGUGGGAUGACGUCAAGUCAGCAUGGCCUUUAUAUCCUGGGCUACACACACGCUACAAUGGCCAACACAAUAGGUUGCUAAGCCGCGAGGGUGGAGCCAAUCCAUAAAGUUGGUCUCAGUUCAGAUUGUAGGCUGCAACCCGCCUGCAUGAAGAUGGAGUUGCUAGUAACCGCAGGUCAGCUAUACUGCGGUGAAUACGUUCCCGGGGCUU